UUGUGGCAGUCCUAGGAAACUGAUACUAAAACUAAACUAAGUCCUCAGUCCUAGGGGAAAAGACAUCAUAGAAUAAAAAUGCUGCAAAGAAGUAAAGGAGAAAGAAAGUUAAAGUCAAUUCAUUUAUCACAUUAGAAUGUCAAGGCUGAUAUUCUGUAGAACUUCUGAAGCUGUGGCCUGAGUGGAUGGGGUUCAGAAAAUGCUACCCCAAAGUACUUUGAACUGAAGGUGAUUGGGAGGGCCUAAGAAGCAAGAAGGUCACUCUGAGUUCCUCCUGCCUUUCAAUGUGAGACCUGGCCAAAAGGGAAUUCUCUGUCCUACCUCAACUGAAAGUAGCUUGUAAGAACUUCAUCUCAAAGGGGUACUGCAUUAUACUCUGAGGCCAAGAAAAGUCAACGCAGAGGCCUUCCUGGGUCCCUCUCCCCCAAUUUGUUACCAUACCCUUUUGUCCCAUCAUACUUCUACAUGAUUUUACUGAAUCUAAGCACAAAAAUACUCAGUUGUCCCCUGGGUGUUUGGUCCUCAUUUCUAAUGGUUUUC
rnacentral:lncRNA from 10 species